rnacentral:rRNA from 1 species
CCUACGGGAGGCAGCAGUGGGGGAUAUUGCACAAUGGGGGGAACCCUGAUGCAGCGACGCCGCGUGGGUGAAGAAGCGCCUCGGCGCUUAAAGCCCUGUCAGCAGGGGAGAAAAUUACGGUACCUGAAGAAGAAGCCCCGUCUCACUACGUGACAGCAGCCGCGGGAAUACGUAGGGGGCCAGCGUUAUCCGGAUUUACUGGGGGUAAAGGGGGCGCAGACGGCGAUGCAAGUCAGGAGUGAAACCCCGGGGCCCAACCCCGGGACUGCGCUUGAAACUGCGUGGCUUGAGUGCAGGAGGGGAAGGCGGAAUGCGUGGUGUAGCGGGGAAAUGCGUAGAUAUCAGGAGGAACACCGGUGGCGAAGGCGGCAUGCUGGACUGCAACUGACGUUGAGGCCCGAAAGCGUGGGGAGCAAACAGGAUUAGAUACCCUUGUAGUC